CCGGGAAUGGAAACCGAGAUGGCAAGGACUGGCUACUAGGGAUUCGGGGGUUCUGGUGCAGACAAAUAAAACUCCUAGGUGUUUAUUCACUUCAUGGCCGCCUGGACUGAGGUACCCGGGGUAAAAGACCCGGCAGAUGCCUUUAGCAAAUAUGGCGGCAAUCUGGCUUCAGUUGCCACUGGUUGUACUUUAGGGCCCCUUUCUUGAGCAUAUCAAAUAUGGCGCCUUACUGGCUCCUCUGGCUUUGGGCCCCCUCUUGCCCUUAAAAACAGUGGCCGCCUCAAGAGCUUUUGCAUUGGUACUGCGGGACGGUUGGCCGGGAAACCAGAAAAACCUUCUUGCCUCCAAGAAAGAUGGACACAGCGGCGGUUCCACCGGCCUCCGUCCCGCGUCGAUACACAGUGGUCGCUGAUUGGCUGUAACCAGGUGAAGAAACUGCGUCGUGAUUGGUCCCGGACUGGCGGUGCAUUUGAAAGGCUCGGAGCCGGAGAAUCCUCUGACAGAGAGGUAUACCCGGAAAACCUCGGCUCUGGAGGACCCCACGGUUGUGACCCCGACGGCCUUCGAGCAGGCCUUUCCUCGGCGGGAUCUGCUGUUUGGUCGCAACCACCCACCCUGGGAACCCAAGCCGAGGAGGAAGCCAGUCACAUUCACUUUGGAGCUUGAGCUGUCACAGUACUUCACUACUCAUUGUGGUGACAGUGAAGGGCGAUGGAGUGAGGAACACAGACCUUCAGAAAUUCUAUUCUAUUCACCAACCCACAUGGGAUGAUUGCCAACAACUGCUUCAAAUCCUCUUCAUCACAGAAGAAUGAGAGAGGAUUAUUAAGGAGUCACGGAAAUUGGUUGCCAGUGAAGAUGGUAGACCCACCACUAUCCCAGAACAGAUUGAAGCUGGGUUUCCACUGAGGAGACCGGAAUGGGACCCCAGUACUGAGGCAGUGGACAGACCUGGAGAAUGGAUUCAAUGGACAAUUAACUUGGACUCGACUCUCACAGGGAUUCAAAAACUCGCCCACCAUCUUUGACGAGACGCUCCAUGACAACCUGGAGAAAACUGAUCAACUUGUGUGAGCCUGUCAGCCACGGUCUUUAAGUAUGUCUGGAAAGUGCCGGAAGUGGACUGGAGGGGGGUCCUUCCCUCCCAAGACAGAGGGGCUCUGGAAGCCCCAAGGCAGCCUGCUCCCUCUCAGCUUCUUACCACUGGAGCACUGGACACUGCUGCACCUCCAGAGCACGCUCCCGCUUGAAGCCGUAGCCUCUAUCUGGGCAGGGGCAGGGGCAGGGCCAGUGGUCAGCGUGAAUGCACCAGUGACUAGGGAGUAGGGAGGAGGAGGUGAAGGGGAGGCUGCAGUCAGGACAGGUGUAGGGCUUCUCACCUGCGUGUUCGUGCUGCUGGAUGGCCGGCAGGUAGGGGUAAGUGAAGCAGCUCUUGCAGCCCUUGCAUUUGGGCAUGGGUAGGGCUUCUGGUGUGAGCCUGCCUGUGCAUGGCGAGCAGCUCCAGUGGCUGAAGCUGCACCCGCAGUGAGGUGCAAGUAGGGAUUUUCUCCCGUGUGGAUGAACUGAUCCUGGAGCAGGUACUUUCACUGGGAGAAACUGAACAGGGAAAUGAUUUCUGAACAGAAGGAACCUGUGCUAUAGCUAACCUGGGAGCAAGCAAAAGGCUCCUCCUAGCUUCGCCAUCUCCUGUGCCUUUGUUCUUAGUUUCUGUGACCCCUGCUUCCUGCCAUAUGUGAAAAGGUAAAUCCUUGUGUACCUUUCUAUCCAAUUGUGUAAGCUGAAAGUAUCUACCUCAAUAAACUAAUGCUGAGUGUCUUGCCACUGCAUCCUCACCCCUCUUUUCCCAAACCUAUAUAAAUCCUGUUCACUGCUCAGAUGGGACUAAUUAAUCACUUUGCAGAGAAGUCCUGGAUCAGUUCUCUAGUGAAAUUAACCUGCCUCCAACUUCCAGGGUGUGUGCUCCAUUCUUCUCAGCCUGACUCUGUUAUGCCACCUAGAGCUACAACACCAGGAGUUAUAUUUGUUACAAGAAAAUGAGUCUGGCACUGCUCACAGUGGAAAGGCCACUCCCUAGGGUGGACCUGCUGGUGGCUGGCCAGGAGGAAAGGAUAAGGGAACUGCAGACACCAUCUGGGCAAGGCUAGGGUGGUCUGCAGGCUGCACUGGCCUUGAGCCAAGGCUUGAUGGGACCCUGCCCAAGGUUUCAGCACAGCUCAGAGCAGGCACCUUUGGCAGAAUUUGAGCCAGGUGGCAUGCUGUCUGGCAACCAC